rnacentral:rRNA from 1 species
GACGAACGCUGGCGGCGUGCUUAACACAUGCAAGUCGAACGGAAAGGCCCUGCUUUUGUGGGGUGCUCGAGUGGCGAACGGGUGAGUAACACGUGAGUAACCUGCCCUUGACUUUGGGAUAACUUCAGGAAACUGGGGCUAAUACCGGAUAGGAGCUCCUGCUGCAUGGUGGGGGUUGGAAAGUUUCGGCGGUUGGGGAUGGACUCGCGGCUUAUCAGCUUGUUGGUGGGGUAGUGGCUUACCAAGGCUUUGACGGGUAGCCGGCCUGGGAGGGUGACCGGCCACAUUGGGACUGAGAUACGGCCCAGACUCCUACGGGAGGCAGCAGUGGGGAAUCUUGCACAAUGGGCGGAAGCCUGAUGCAGCAACGCCGCGUGCGGGAUGACGGCCUUCGGGUUGUAAACCGCUUUCGCCUGUGACGAAGCGUGAGUGACGGUAAUGGGUAAAGAAGCACCGGCUAACUACGUG